UACGUAGGGUGCGAGCGUUAAUCGGAAUUACUGGGCGUAAAGCGUGCGCAGGCGGUUUUGAAAGACAGGCGUGAAAUCCCCGGGCUCAACCUGGGAACUACGCUUGUGACUUCAAGACUAGAGUACGGCAGAGGGGGGUAGAAUUCCACGUGUAGCAGUGAAAUGCGUAGAGAUGUGGAGGAAUACCGAUGGCGAAGGCAGCCCCCUGGGUCAACACUGACGCUCAUGCACGAAAGCGUGGGGAGCAAACAGG
rnacentral:rRNA from 1 species